rnacentral:rRNA from 1 species
UGAAGGGCCGCGGUAUUUUGACCGUGCAAAGGUAGCAUAAUCAUUAGUUCUUUAAUUGUGAUCUGGAAUGAAUGGCUUGACGAGACACGAGCUGUCUUAAGUUUGGACAUUUUAUUGAAUUUAGUUUUUGAGUUAAAAUUCUUAAAUGUUUUUAUGGGACGAGAAGACCCUAUAGAGUUUAACACAUUGGUUUAUUUAUUUAUUUGUUGUUUGUUUUAUUUUGUAAGUAGGCCUAUUUUGUUUUGUUGGGGUGAUGAGAGGAAUAUAGUUUAACUCCUCUUAGUUUUGGUUAUAUUGAUUUAUAUUUAUUUGAUCCAUUUAUUUUGAUUAUAAGAUUAAAUUACCU